AUUUCCAAAUUAUUCACAGAUUCACAAUCCAGACUGCCUGGUCUACAGUGCCCUCUCUCCUUUCACGUUCAAGUAGACUUUUUAUUUCCUUCUCCUUAUGCUGCUGAGAGAAAAAGAGAAGCAGCAUUGAUUAAAAUUCCUCAAGUUUAAUAUUUUCGCUUUUAACAAAUUUCGGACUUAGCUUUUUAAACCCAUUGGCCUCUUUAAUGGGCGCUUUUUUUUUGUAAUCCAUUGUAAUCACAAUGUUCUAAAUUAAUACAUGAAAAUGAAUUAUGUUUCAGGUUUUUCAAGAAUGCAGAAGUUAAGGAAUUGGAAACUUCUGUAUGGGUUUUACAUCUAGUAGAUGCUUAAUAAGUACAUGUGAAUAUCAAUAAUCUAAAGUUUCUCAAAAUCCAAGGCCUGAAAACCAGUAUGAUAAACUGAACUGAAAUAAACAGCCUAUCACCUACUAAACAAAACCCAGGCUCCAAGUGACUGUGUAAUUUCCCCUUUCAUUUCCUUUAGUGAACGAUGGUUAAAGUUUUAAGAUUCUAUUUUUUUGCAGCGGUCUUGCCCCUUUGUGACGGGCCCUACAAAUCUACGUUUGAGGUUGAAGCAGGAGACAAAUUAUGCAGCAACUUGCUUCUGCUUUAGUUUUUUCUGCACUAUCACCCGCGUUUUCAAUUCUGAAGUCAACCCUCAUGCAAGUGUUCCCUUCACAUUGAACUAAGGGACUGAAGGGACAUUUCGGACCAAACAACAAAGACCUGGCCUUUCCGCCGCAGACAGCGCGCCUCCCCUGGCAGCCCGUCGGGGACAGAGACCACCCCAACCCGGCAAGAGUGCGGGGCCCGGCCCGAGGGCGGGCGGGGUCAAGGGGCGAGCCUGCGCCGCCAGCUGAAGGCCGCCUACAGAGAGCCGAGCCCGAGGCUAGCCGUGUAGGAAAGCAACCAGGACUACCAGAAACAACCAGGACUUCCCGGGAUCUUGGCGACCACUCACCCAUGGGCCGCCUGAAGGUUUUUUUCCAGAAGCACUAGACCAGCGGAUCUGGCAGCUGCACCGAACAUCCGGGCCACAGCGAGCUCGGCGGCUCCGCCUCCCAGUAACCUGAGCAACCGCUCCGAAGUUCCUCCCCCAUUUCCGGGUUUAGGCUCCGAUGUCCCGCCCCACGAGGGGUCGCUGCUUCGCGUCCCGCCCUCCUCGCCAGGAGUCAGUGGGUAGGGGUCGGGCUUGAAGUCAUCGCUGCAGGACGGUUCUUGUGUCCCCGGACGCAGACCAUGGAGAGCGCGCUGGCGGUGUCCCGGCUGCCCCCGCAUGAUCCGGGGACGCCGGUGCUGUCGGUGGUGGACAUGCACACGGGCGGCGAGCCCCUGCGCAUCGUGCUGGCUGGGUGUCCGGAGGUGUCCGGGCCCACCCUGCUGGCCAAGCGGCGCUACAUGCGCCAGCACCUUGACCACGUGCGGCGACGGCUCAUGUUCGAGCCCCGAGGGCACCGGGACAUGUACGGGGCUGUCCUAGUGCCGAGCGAGCUGCAGGACGCGCACUUGGGCGUCUUGUUCCUGCACAACGAGGGCUACAGCUCCAUGUGCGGCCACGCAGUGCUGGCGCUGGGCCGCUUCGCCUUGGACUUCGGGCUUGUGCCGGCGCCCGCUGCGGGCACCCGCGAGGCCCGCGUCAACAUCCACUGCCCGUGUGGGCUGGUGACCGCCUUCGUGGCGUGUGAGGACGGCCGCAGCCACGGCCCGGUGCGCUUCCACAGCGUCCCGGCCUUCGUGCUGGCAACAGAUCUCAUGGUGGAUGUUCCCGGACAUGGAAAGGUGGUGGUGGACAUUGCAUAUGGCGGUGCAUUUUAUGCAUUUGUUAGUGCUGAAAAGUUAGGACUAGACAUUUGUUCUGCAAAGACCAGGGACCUUGUGGAUGCAGCGAGUACGGUAACAGAGGCAGUGAAAGCUCAGUUUAAAAUUAAUCAUCCUGAUAGUGAAGACCUUGCCUUUUUAUAUGGAACCAUAUUAACAGAUGGAAAAGAUGCUUAUACCAAGGAACCAACCACCAACAUUUGUGUUUUUGCAGAUGAACAGGUUGACAGAAGUCCCACUGGCUCGGGAGUGACAGCCCGAAUUGCCUUACAGUAUCACAAAGGGCUUCUGGAACUGAACCAGACCAGAGCCUUCAAAAGCAGUACCACUGGCUCAGUAUUCACAGGGAAAGCUGUGAGGCUCAGUAUGACAGAGACUCCAUUCCAGGUGGAAAAAAGCACAAGGCUCCCUUCUCUGAGAUCCCAGGACUAUCUUAUUCUCCUCAGAGGAGCAGGUUACAAGAACUUCACAUCUCUCAGGCUACAUGUUGCAGAGGUUAAAUUCCAGGGGUUGUCUCAACAAGUCAAGGAAGGAGCAGCCCAAGAAUACCAUCAGAGAUGCAGCUUUCCAGGCCUCCAUCCUGGACUGUUCAAUUAUUCUGGGGAAACUCAACUGCCAUGUUGUGAGGACACUCAAGCAGCCCUAUGGAGGAGCCCACAUGGUGAGGAACGGAGGCCUCUUGCCAACACACAUAUGAGUGAGCCAUCUUGGAAGCAGCUUCAGCUGACAUCUUAAUUACAACCCCCUAAGAGACCUGUAUCAGAACUACCCAGCUAAUCUGCUCCAAGUUUCUGACUUACAGAAGCUUUGAGAGAAUAAUUGUAUUAAGCUGCUAAAUUUGGGGCUAGCUUGUUACACAAUAAUAAUACACAUAGUAGAAAUAAGUAUGGGUUCAUAAAACAUUUCAGUUAUAGAUGAGUGUGUGCUAGGUCUCAGUAUAAGAUGAACCCCUUCUUAUAGGUUGCAGUAAAAAACAAAAUGGAAAAUUCUGCACAAAACGAACCAAGCAACAGUUUUCUACUCUGAGGUCUUGCUGCUGCCUUCCUGAGGUCUACAUGGGAAUCAAGAUAUAGGUCCUCUUUGCUUUCAGGUGCCCCAAACUUAUUAGUGGCUCAUGCAGCCUUCAUUGCCCCAUCGUUCUCUAGCCAGGCCAGUCACCAAGGGUGGGCAGGAAUACACAGGGCACAAAGACACUUCUCAAAGAGCUAUCUACAUCUAAAUUUUUUUUUUGAGACGGAGUCUCGCUCUGUCACCAGGCUGGAGUGCAGUGGUGCGAUCUUGGCUCAUUGCAAUCUCUGCCUCCAGGGUUCAAGUGAUUCCCCUGCCUCAGCCUCCCAAGUAGCUGGGACUACAGGCAUGCACCACCAGCCCCAGCUAUUUUUUGUAUUUUAGUAGAGAUAGGGUUUCACCAUGUUGGCCAGGAUGAUGUCAAUCUCCUGACCACGUGAUCUGCCUGCCUCCGCUUCCCUAAGUGCUGGGAUUACAGGCGUGAACCACCGCACCCGGCCUCUCCUUGAUUUUCUAAACUCCUCUCAUCCAACCUGAAAACAUCUUUAUCUAGUCUUUAGGAUAGUCAUCCUGGCUUUUACAGCUUUGUGUGUUCUCUUGAACUUAUUAUCUUGAUUACAAACCUUCCUAUUUAAAGCAGGACCAAAACUUUAACCAACCAAAGACCUCUCUGUUUUUGGCACAGCCUCCUUUAGUUCAGAAAAUCCUAAAGGUAAGGGAAGUCCUGUGUGUAUAAGGAAAUACAGUGGAAAAAGCCUUCAAAUAAUAUUUGAAAACGUUA